UGGGGAAUUUUGGACAAUGGGCGCAAGCCUGAUCCAGCAAUGCCGCGUGCAGGAAGAAGGCCUUCGGGUUGUAAACUGCUUUUGUCAGGGAAGAAAUCUUCUGGGCUAAUACCCCGGGAGGAUGACGGUACCUGAAGAAUAAGCACCGGCUAACUACGUGCCAGCAGCCGCGGUAAUACGUAGGGUGCGAGCGUUAAUCGGAAUUACUGGGCGUAAAGCGUGCGCAGGCGGUUAUGUAAGACAGAUGUGAAAUCCCCGGGCUCAACCUGGGAACUGCAUUUUGUGACUGCAUGACUGGAGUGCGACAGAGGGGGAUGGAACUCCGCGUGUAGCAGUGAAAUGCGUAGAUAUGCGGAGGAACACCGAUGGCGAAGGCAAUCCCCUGGGCCUGCACUGACGCUCAUGCACGAAAGCGUGGGGAGCAAACAGGAUUAGAUACCCUGGUAGUCCACGCCCUAAACGAUGUCAACUGGUUGUUGGACGGCUUGCUGUUCAGUAACGAAGCUAACGCGUGAAGUUGACCGCCUGGGGAGUACGGCCGCAAGGUUGAAACUUAAAUGAAUUGACGGGGUCAUAGCUGUUUCCUG
rnacentral:rRNA from 1 species